GAGGGCUGUGCCACGCUGAGGGGAUGGAAGCGAGGUGCUGGGAGGGCCUUUUGAGUAGUUUCUUGGGAGGCAGGGAUGUGCAGGAGAUGGCCCCUUAGGCCACAUGGAGGAGAAGUCUCCCAGUGCUGAGGUGCUCAGGGCAGAGCGGUCCCGGUGCCUGUCACUUGUGUCACUUGUCUGUCGUGCCUUCUGUGUCUUUUGGAUGUCUCGUGUCACGUGUCUUGUGCCUUAGUCCUUUGAGGGGCUUAUGGUUUGUCCUGUUCUGUGUCACGGGUGUCUGGGUGUUUGGGCCGAUGCCGCUCUGCCCUGCUGCAAAGCCUGGUGUAGGUAUCAUAGGAGAAGUCCUGGGGGCCUGGAAAGAUGCUGGUUUUUUCUGGAAGAAUUACGUGAGAGCAGAAAAGUUACAAUGGCAUUGCAGUUGCCUGCACAGAAAAGACCCAGGGAAGUGGAACACAGCCAGGUGGUUUUGUGUGGCACCACAACUGAGAGCAUCAGUUAGGUGAGGAGGCGCGAGCAGCUCCCCGCUUUCGCAGACACAGUAGAAAUGUCAAGCAGUUUCGCCCUUUUCCAGACCACUGGCACGUGCUUGGGGACAAUAAGCUGUAUUUUUUACAGCCAGGUCUUCUGAGCCGCACUCCUCCUGCUCUGGGGUGGCCGCUGCUCACUGAUCACGGUGAAAACAACCUUGUGUCCCGGCACCCUGCAAAAUUCCCAGCUUAGAUGGCACUGAAGCGCAGCUUUGGCUUUCAGGCAUCUCCCUUGCAACCUGUGCCUUGUGUGGUCUCUGCAGGGAAUUAGUUAUUAAUUAAUUGCUUCCAAUUUUUUUUUAAUUUCCCAAGAAUAUCAGGUGACUUUUACAUCCUCUGCAGAGAUCUAUCUGCCUGGGAGGAGAAGCAGAGGCGACCACUGAAAAGUGGCACGUGAGCUCUGGUGAGGACUGCUGCUCCGCCUGCCUUGGUGUGGGAACUGCUGAGCUGCCGUUCCUGUGGUGGGAGUGUUUCUCCUCUCAUGCAGGCAAGGCAGAGACCUGCCAGGUAAGGAGCAGGUAAGGUUUAAGUGACGAGAUGUCCCAAGGAAGAAGUGACAUGACAAAAGGAAAUGGCCUCGAGUUGCAGCAGGGAAGGCUUAGAUUGGAUUGUAGGAAACACUUCCUCACUGGAAGGGUGGUGAGGCAUUGGAGCAGGCUGCCCAGGGAAGUCCCCGUCCCUGGAGACAUGGAAAGGAUGUGUAGACGUGGUGUUUAGGGACCUGAUUUGGGGGUGGGGGGGGCUUGGCAGUGCUGGGGCAACGAGGGAGGGAGGCAGGGAGGGAGAAAAAUCCUCUCUUAACAUGUACCAAUUAAUCUGUGAAACUCAUCACGGCAGGACAGCACGAAGACUGAAAGUGUGAUAAGGUGUGGAGUGAAAUGGAGAAUCCGAGAAGUGACAAGAGCAUCCGGUGCACAGGGGGACUGUGCAUUUUGCUUUUUGCUUGGAUUUCAACUCCAAAGUUGUGAGGAAUUUGGAAUGAGAUGGGACAUUUCAGAAGAAGACCAAGGAGAGGAAGAAGAAGUUGUUGCAGUCCUGGCGAAAUCUUUUUUUCCUAGCUAAUAAAAGAAGUUAGUGUGGGGAAAAAAAAAAAAAAAGUAUUUUUUUUUCCUUCACUCGUAUAUUCUUUGGUGGUGGAUGUAUGGUGUGUUGUUUUCCUUUUCGGUAUUAUUAACUAUGUGCAAUUUGGUUUUGGAGUGAAGAUAACCUUAUGGAUGGGGUUGGUUUGUAUUUGAGGUAGAAUUAAUUUCAGUAGGUUUCCUUAACAGACUUCUGAGAUGUAUGAUAUUGGGAUUUUGGUUGUGUUCCUUGUAUGUGUAAAGAUACAGAUUUGGUAGGGCUAGCUGGGCUGCUGGAGUUUUGGGUGGUAAUUUAUUAGAUGGCUUUUGCUGGAUGCCAUUUUUAAUUUUUGAAAGUUUUUUUUUCAUGUAGCAGUUUUAAAGUGGUUUUUAAGAAUUCAUAGUAUUGUUUUAUAUUGUUUCUGCUUGGUGUAUGAUGAGGGAUAUGGUGUACCUCUUGAACGUUAUGCUUUUGGUGUUCAUAAGUUUCGAUUUAUUUCUGGAUAAAUGUUUUUUGUUUUUUUUUUAGUUUUAGUUUUUGGGCUCAGGCGCAUUUAUGUGGUGGGUUUCUAUAGGCAAUUUUUAAAAAUCUGUGUAGUGAUCUUUUAAAGUAUUUUAAUAUUCAAUUUUUAUUAUGCUUUUAAUUGGCUUUUUAGAAAUUCUUUUUAUGGAUUAUUGGUUAUUAUUUGUGAGUUAGCAUAAAGGUAGAGCUUUGGGGGCUUUUUUAAGACGUGUUUAGGGUCAGUUGUACAGUUUGGAGUUUAGUGAGUUGGUCUGAUGUAUUUUUUAUGCCAUUUGUUUUUAUUAGCAGUUAUUUCAUUUUAAAUGUGUAUUUGAGUUUUUUGGGUUUUUGAGAUGUUGGUUGAGGAGGAAGUUUACGCUUAUAAAUGAUGGAGGUUUUGGGGUAAUAAUAAUGGGAUUUUAAAAUUGAUUUAUAGUUGGGUUUAUUUGAAUUUUGAAUGGGGUUAAGUGUGGUGGGAUCCUUGUUCUCUUAGUAAUAGAAACAGGUUUUGUUUUGAAACGGUGUGACGGGGCGAGCGUGUACUGCGGCCUGGUGCUGAGCAGGGCGUGGUGGUUUUGUGCUGCUGAUGUGUUAGGUCAGUGAAUGCAUAUGGUUUACUGUAUAGUUUAAAAUAGAAAUAGCUUCAAAUUUUAAAAGAAAAAUGAAAUUAUAAUGAUAAAAAUAAAUACAGAAAACAGAUCAAUACAUAAAACUAUAAUAUAUAGUGUACUAUUGUAAAGAUAAUAUGAUAUAUAAAAUGCUGUCUCUUGUAUGUCUAUACAAAUAUAUAAAUAUAGAUUGUAAAUAUAAAAAUAUUUAAAUAUAGUUUAAAAUAGGGUGUUUUUUUGUUUUUAUUAGGUUGUAGGCAGGGGUUUUUAAUAAAUAGUAUAAAUAUAAUUAAUCUGAAAAUAUAAAUCAAAUCUAAGCAUAUAGAAUAUAUAUAACAAUAGGUAUAAAUAUUCAAUAUAAGUAAUCUAAUUUAAUAGAUGAUAUAAAAUAAUAUUAUAUUUUCUAGAGUAUAUAUAAAGAAAAUUAUAAAUGUCUAUGUAAAUAUAAUUAUGAAUGAUAUAAUUUAAAUAUUUUAAAAUAUGGUUAAAAUAAAGGGCUGUCUUUGGUUUUUAUUUUGUUAGAGGCAGGGGUUUUAUUUGAAAUUAUGUAAAGUAGCAUAGAAAUAUAAAUCUAAAUAUAGAAAUUCAUAAUAAAGGUAUAAAGACAGAUAAUUAUAAUUAAAGCAUAAAUACAAAUUUAAAUAUAUGUAAGUAAUAUGAAGGUAAGUAAUAUAGAAUAUAAAUAAUAUUAUAGAGCGAUAGAAACUAUAAAUAUAAAUGUGAAUAUAAAUAUGAAAAAAGAUAAAUAUUAAAAUAUGUAAAUAUAAUUUAAAUAAAGGGGUUUUUGGUUUUUAUUUGGUUAGAGACGGGGUUUUCAUUUUAAAUAAUAUAAAUAUGGAUAUUGUUUCAUAAUCAUCAAUACGGAAAUCUAUAAUCAGGAUAUAAAAAUAUAUAUAGAAAUAUAAAAUAUAAAUAAAGUAAUGAGAAGAGAUCUAGUAGAAUACAAGUAACACUGUAAGUCAAUAUACAUUUUAAGUGUAAAUGAAUAUAAAUUUUGAAAGUAAUUAAAAAAAAAAAAUUAAACACAGUUUAAGAGAAAGAAGUUCUUUUUGGCUUUUCUUUGGAUAGCUGCAGGGCUUUUAUUUUAAAUAAUGUGUGUUACAGAACUAAAAAUAUGAAUCCAGAAAUAUAGAAUCAAUAUAUAAAGAAAUGCAUAAACAUAUAUAAGUAAAGUAAUAUGAGUAGAUGUAAUAUAGAAUAUGAAUUUAUCUAUAAAUUUAUAAAUAGAAAUGUAGAACUAAACAUGAUAUAUCCAUGUACAUUAUGAAUAUAAAAGUGAAUAUAAAUAUGAAAAAAUAUAACAGUGCAAUAUAUUUAAAUAUUGUUUAAAAGAAAGGCUUUGUGGGGUUUUUUUGGUUGUUACUGGGUUAGAGGCAGGGAUUUUUUUUUUUCCCCCUUCCGGGUUGUUUUGGGGCAUUUAUUUUAGAAGAGGUUUUGGAGGGGAUCCCCCCGGUUCGUUUUAGCCCCGCCCGCAGCCCCGCGGCGUGCGGCGCCCCCGGCUGAGGCGGGCGGCAGCGCCGCCGCCUUGUGGCCAGAGCGCGGUACUGCAGCUCCCUCCGGCUGAGGCGGGCGGCAGCGCCGCCGCCUUGUGGCCAGAGCGCGGUACUGCAGCCUCCCGACAGGCAGCCGAGGGGCGGCGGCGAAAACGCCUCUCUGUGCCGCGCUGCUGCAGCGGCCGACGGCGUGGGGGGGGUUCGGCCGGGACGCGCUCGACCUUCUCAAGAUGGCGGCAAAAAAAAGAGCGGGAAAGUCGAGGACCUCCGUCCGUUUACUGGACUGCCUGCGUGGCACCCCGAGGCCAGAGCAGCAGCGGCGGGAUUUUCUGUGGCGAUUCAAGUGCUGUGGACACGGGCUGUGCGCUCAGCGGCACCGAGAGCUGAGGUAUUUCGGCGAGUUUCUGACAGGCACAGGCGAAAACGGCUUUCUCUGCCGGGGGCCUGUCGCGGCCGCCAUCUUGGGAGUGGCGUGUCGCGUCGUGUCGCGGACCGGCUUGACCUUCUCAAGAGGGCGGCCAAAAGGGCGGGAAAAAUGAGGCCCAUGGUGUGUCUAUUGAGCUGCCCGCACGGCGCUCCAUCGCCGGCGCGACCCCGGAGGAAUUUUCUGUGGCGACUCACGUGCUGUGGACACGGGCUGUGCGCUCAGCGGCGCCGCGGGCGGUGGCGUUUGUGGCGGGCGCUGACAGGCUUGAGUAUAGACGCCUCCCUUUGCCGAGGGCUUCUCGCGGCCGCCAUCUUGAGAGUGGCGUGUCGCGUCGUGUCGCGGACCGGCUUGACCUUCUCAAGAGGGCGGCCAAAAGGGCGGGAAAAUCCAGGUUAGCCGAGAAUAGCCGAGUGUAGCCGAAGAGCCGACGAUAGCCGAGUUUUGCCGACAAUAGCCGAGUGUAGCCGAAGAGCCGACGAUAGCCGAGUUUUGCCGACAAUAGCCGGGUGUUGCCGAACAGCCGACGAUAGCCGAGUUCAGCCGAAGUGCCGAAACAAGCCCAGCUUAGACCAACAGCCGAACCAAACCGCCGCUGCACGUACGUGUUUUAAUCGCGUAACCGGGCGGACUCGGGAAAGCCGACAGGCGGAGUAGAUUUCUGUUUGGUCUGUGUCUGUCAGGAGCGGGCUGUGUGCUGGACAGGGAGCGACGCUGUCGGAGCGUGGCGACAGCGCCAGCUGUGAGCUCUGAGGAUGAUGAGGGCUCCGAGCAGCCCCAGCCCUGAGCUGCGAGGAUGAGGAGGGGGCGGCUCCUGCCGGGAGGAGGCUGUUUUAGGGGGGAAGGGGUUGCCUGAGCUCCCUUUUGCCUGGAGCUGCUGAGCAGAGGGGUUUAUGGGGGGCUCCCGGCGCUGUCUCGUGGAAGGACGCCGAGAGCUUCUCCGAGGGUCUGGGGGAACACCUGGAUACGCCCUUGGAUGCGUGGAGCAUUGCUCAAAGGAGGUGCCGAGGAACAAAGCUCCGUGCCGGGAAGCAGCAGCCGAACAGCCGUGACCAAGGGACCACAGCCCGGUGACUGCGGGACAUUGCCAGCGAGAGAGGCGGCCUUCCUUUGCAGCGGACGUGGCUUCUCAUCCCAGGAUGCUCGAGAGAAUAUCAGGUGACUUUUACAUCCUCUGCAGAGAUCUAUCUGCCUGGGAGGAGAAGCAGAGGCGACCACUGAAAAGUGGCACGUGAGCUCUGGUGAGGACUGCUGCUCCGCCUGCCUUGGUGUGGGAACUGCUGAGCUGCCGUUCCUGUGGUGGGAGUGUUUCUCCUCUCAUGCAGGCAAGGCAGAGACCUGCCAGGUAAGGAGCAGGUAAGGUUUAAGUGACGAGAUGUCCCAAGGAAGAAGUGACAUGACAAAAGGAAAUGGCCUCGAGUUGCAGCAGGGAAGGCUUAGAUUGGAUUGUAGGAAACACUUCCUCACUGGAAGGGUGGUGAGGCAUUGGAGCAGGCUGCCCAGGGAAGUCCCCGUCCCUGGAGACAUGGAAAGGAUGUGUAGACGUGGUGUUUAGGGACCUGAUUUGGGGGUGGGGGGGGCUUGGCAGUGCUGGGGCAACGAGGGAGGGAGGCAGGGAGGGAGAAAAAUCCUCUCUUAACAUGUACCAAUUAAUCUGUGAAACUCAUCACGGCAGGACAGCACGAAGACUGAAAGUGUGAUAAGGUGUGGAGUGAAAUGGAGAAUCCGAGAAGUGACAAGAGCAUCCGGUGCACAGGGGGACUGUGCAUUUUGCUUUUUGCUUGGAUUUCAACUCCAAAGUUGUGAGGAAUUUGGAAUGAGAUGGGACAUUUCAGAAGAAGACCAAGGAGAGGAAGAAGAAGUUGUUGCAGUCCUGGCGAAAUCUUUUUUUCCUAGCUAAUAAAAGAAGUUAGUGUGGGGAAAAAAAAAAAAAAAGUAUUUUUUUUUCCUUCACUCGUAUAUUCUUUGGUGGUGGAUGUAUGGUGUGUUGUUUUCCUUUUCGGUAUUAUUAACUAUGUGCAAUUUGGUUUUGGAGUGAAGAUAACCUUAUGGAUGGGGUUGGUUUGUAUUUGAGGUAGAAUUAAUUUCAGUAGGUUUCCUUAACAGACUUCUGAGAUGUAUGAUAUUGGGAUUUUGGUUGUGUUCCUUGUAUGUGUAAAGAUACAGAUUUGGUAGGGCUAGCUGGGCUGCUGGAGUUUUGGGUGGUAAUUUAUUAGAUGGCUUUUGCUGGAUGCCAUUUUUAAUUUUUGAAAGUUUUUUUUUCAUGUAGCAGUUUUAAAGUGGUUUUUAAGAAUUCAUAGUAUUGUUUUAUAUUGUUUCUGCUUGGUGUAUGAUGAGGGAUAUGGUGUACCUCUUGAACGUUAUGCUUUUGGUGUUCAUAAGUUUCGAUUUAUUUCUGGAUAAAUGUUUUUUGUUUUUUUUUUAGUUUUAGUUUUUGGGCUCAGGCGCAUUUAUGUGGUGGGUUUCUAUAGGCAAUUUUUAAAAAUCUGUGUAGUGAUCUUUUAAAGUAUUUUAAUAUUCAAUUUUUAUUAUGCUUUUAAUUGGCUUUUUAGAAAUUCUUUUUAUGGAUUAUUGGUUAUUAUUUGUGAGUUAGCAUAAAGGUAGAGCUUUGGGGGCUUUUUUAAGACGUGUUUAGGGUCAGUUGUACAGUUUGGAGUUUAGUGAGUUGGUCUGAUGUAUUUUUUAUGCCAUUUGUUUUUAUUAGCAGUUAUUUCAUUUUAAAUGUGUAUUUGAGUUUUUUGGGUUUUUGAGAUGUUGGUUGAGGAGGAAGUUUACGCUUAUAAAUGAUGGAGGUUUUGGGGUAAUAAUAAUGGGAUUUUAAAAUUGAUUUAUAGUUGGGUUUAUUUGAAUUUUGAAUGGGGUUAAGUGUGGUGGGAUCCUUGUUCUCUUAGUAAUAGAAACAGGUUUUGUUUUGAAACGGUGUGACGGGGCGAGCGUGUACUGCGGCCUGGUGCUGAGCAGGGCGUGGUGGUUUUGUGCUGCUGAUGUGUUAGGUCAGUGAAUGCAUAUGGUUUACUGUAUAGUUUAAAAUAGAAAUAGCUUCAAAUUUUAAAAGAAAAAUGAAAUUAUAAUGAUAAAAAUAAAUACAGAAAACAGAUCAAUACAUAAAACUAUAAUAUAUAGUGUACUAUUGUAAAGAUAAUAUGAUAUAUAAAAUGCUGUCUCUUGUAUGUCUAUACAAAUAUAUAAAUAUAGAUUGUAAAUAUAAAAAUAUUUAAAUAUAGUUUAAAAUAGGGUGUUUUUUUGUUUUUAUUAGGUUGUAGGCAGGGGUUUUUAAUAAAUAGUAUAAAUAUAAUUAAUCUGAAAAUAUAAAUCAAAUCUAAGCAUAUAGAAUAUAUAUAACAAUAGGUAUAAAUAUUCAAUAUAAGUAAUCUAAUUUAAUAGAUGAUAUAAAAUAAUAUUAUAUUUUCUAGAGUAUAUAUAAAGAAAAUUAUAAAUGUCUAUGUAAAUAUAAUUAUGAAUGAUAUAAUUUAAAUAUUUUAAAAUAUGGUUAAAAUAAAGGGCUGUCUUUGGUUUUUAUUUUGUUAGAGGCAGGGGUUUUAUUUGAAAUUAUGUAAAGUAGCAUAGAAAUAUAAAUCUAAAUAUAGAAAUUCAUAAUAAAGGUAUAAAGACAGAUAAUUAUAAUUAAAGCAUAAAUACAAAUUUAAAUAUAUGUAAGUAAUAUGAAGGUAAGUAAUAUAGAAUAUAAAUAAUAUUAUAGAGCGAUAGAAACUAUAAAUAUAAAUGUGAAUAUAAAUAUGAAAAAAGAUAAAUAUUAAAAUAUGUAAAUAUAAUUUAAAUAAAGGGGUUUUUGGUUUUUAUUUGGUUAGAGACGGGGUUUUCAUUUUAAAUAAUAUAAAUAUGGAUAUUGUUUCAUAAUCAUCAAUACGGAAAUCUAUAAUCAGGAUAUAAAAAUAUAUAUAGAAAUAUAAAAUAUAAAUAAAGUAAUGAGAAGAGAUCUAGUAGAAUACAAGUAACACUGUAAGUCAAUAUACAUUUUAAGUGUAAAUGAAUAUAAAUUUUGAAAGUAAUUAAAAAAAAAAAAUUAAACACAGUUUAAGAGAAAGAAGUUCUUUUUGGCUUUUCUUUGGAUAGCUGCAGGGCUUUUAUUUUAAAUAAUGUGUGUUACAGAACUAAAAAUAUGAAUCCAGAAAUAUAGAAUCAAUAUAUAAAGAAAUGCAUAAACAUAUAUAAGUAAAGUAAUAUGAGUAGAUGUAAUAUAGAAUAUGAAUUUAUCUAUAAAUUUAUAAAUAGAAAUGUAGAACUAAACAUGAUAUAUCCAUGUACAUUAUGAAUAUAAAAGUGAAUAUAAAUAUGAAAAAAUAUAACAGUGCAAUAUAUUUAAAUAUUGUUUAAAAGAAAGGCUUUGUGGGGUUUUUUUGGUUGUUACUGGGUUAGAGGCAGGGAUUUUUUUUUUUCCCCCUUCCGGGUUGUUUUGGGGCAUUUAUUUUAGAAGAGGUUUUGGAGGGGAUCCCCCCGGUUCGUUUUAGCCCCGCCCGCAGCCCCGCGGCGUGCGGCGCCCCCGGCUGAGGCGGGCGGCAGCGCCGCCGCCUUGUGGCCAGAGCGCGGUACUGCAGCUCCCUCCGGCUGAGGCGGGCGGCAGCGCCGCCGCCUUGUGGCCAGAGCGCGGUACUGCAGCCUCCCGACAGGCAGCCGAGGGGCGGCGGCGAAAACGCCUCUCUGUGCCGCGCUGCUGCAGCGGCCGACGGCGUGGGGGGGGUUCGGCCGGGACGCGCUCGACCUUCUCAAGAUGGCGGCAAAAAAAAGAGCGGGAAAGUCGAGGACCUCCGUCCGUUUACUGGACUGCCUGCGUGGCACCCCGAGGCCAGAGCAGCAGCGGCGGGAUUUUCUGUGGCGAUUCAAGUGCUGUGGACACGGGCUGUGCGCUCAGCGGCACCGAGAGCUGAGGUAUUUCGGCGAGUUUCUGACAGGCACAGGCGAAAACGGCUUUCUCUGCCGGGGGCCUGUCGCGGCCGCCAUCUUGGGAGUGGCGUGUCGCGUCGUGUCGCGGACCGGCUUGACCUUCUCAAGAGGGCGGCCAAAAGGGCGGGAAAAAUGAGGCCCAUGGUGUGUCUAUUGAGCUGCCCGCACGGCGCUCCAUCGCCGGCGCGACCCCGGAGGAAUUUUCUGUGGCGACUCACGUGCUGUGGACACGGGCUGUGCGCUCAGCGGCGCCGCGGGCGGUGGCGUUUGUGGCGGGCGCUGACAGGCUUGAGUAUAGACGCCUCCCUUUGCCGAGGGCUUCUCGCGGCCGCCAUCUUGAGAGUGGCGUGUCGCGUCGUGUCGCGGACCGGCUUGACCUUCUCAAGAGGGCGGCCAAAAGGGCGGGAAAAUCCAGGUUAGCCGAGAAUAGCCGAGUGUAGCCGAAGAGCCGACGAUAGCCGAGUUUUGCCGACAAUAGCCGAGUGUAGCCGAAGAGCCGACGAUAGCCGAGUUUUGCCGACAAUAGCCGGGUGUUGCCGAACAGCCGACGAUAGCCGAGUUCAGCCGAAGUGCCGAAACAAGCCCAGCUUAGACCAACAGCCGAACCAAACCGCCGCUGCACGUACGUGUUUUAAUCGCGUAACCGGGCGGACUCGGGAAAGCCGACAGGCGGAGUAGAUUUCUGUUUGGUCUGUGUCUGUCAGGAGCGGGCUGUGUGCUGGACAGGGAGCGACGCUGUCGGAGCGUGGCGACAGCGCCAGCUGUGAGCUCUGAGGAUGAUGAGGGCUCCGAGCAGCCCCAGCCCUGAGCUGCGAGGAUGAGGAGGGGGCGGCUCCUGCCGGGAGGAGGCUGUUUUAGGGGGGAAGGGGUUGCCUGAGCUCCCUUUUGCCUGGAGCUGCUGAGCAGAGGGGUUUAUGGGGGGCUCCCGGCGCUGUCUCGUGGAAGGACGCCGAGAGCUUCUCCGAGGGUCUGGGGGAACACCUGGAUACGCCCUUGGAUGCGUGGAGCAUUGCUCAAAGGAGGUGCCGAGGAACAAAGCUCCGUGCCGGGAAGCAGCAGCCGAACAGCCGUGACCAAGGGACCACAGCCCGGUGACUGCGGGACAUUGCCAGCGAGAGAGGCGGCCUUCCUUUGCAGCGGACGUGGCUUCUCAUCCCAGGAUGCUCGAGAGAAUAUCAGGUGACUUUUACAUCCUCUGCAGAGAUCUAUCUGCCUGGGAGGAGAAGCAGAGGCGACCACUGAAAAGUGGCACGUGAGCUCUGGUGAGGACUGCUGCUCCGCCUGCCUUGGUGUGGGAACUGCUGAGCUGCCGUUCCUGUGGUGGGAGUGUUUCUCCUCUCAUGCAGGCAAGGCAGAGACCUGCCAGGUAAGGAGCAGGUAAGGUUUAAGUGACGAGAUGUCCCAAGGAAGAAGUGACAUGACAAAAGGAAAUGGCCUCGAGUUGCAGCAGGGAAGGCUUAGAUUGGAUUGUAGGAAACACUUCCUCACUGGAAGGGUGGUGAGGCAUUGGAGCAGGCUGCCCAGGGAAGUCCCCGUCCCUGGAGACAUGGAAAGGAUGUGUAGACGUGGUGUUUAGGGACCUGAUUUGGGGGUGGGGGGGGCUUGGCAGUGCUGGGGCAACGAGGGAGGGAGGCAGGGAGGGAGAAAAAUCCUCUCUUAACAUGUACCAAUUAAUCUGUGAAACUCAUCACGGCAGGACAGCACGAAGACUGAAAGUGUGAUAAGGUGUGGAGUGAAAUGGAGAAUCCGAGAAGUGACAAGAGCAUCCGGUGCACAGGGGGACUGUGCAUUUUGCUUUUUGCUUGGAUUUCAACUCCAAAGUUGUGAGGAAUUUGGAAUGAGAUGGGACAUUUCAGAAGAAGACCAAGGAGAGGAAGAAGAAGUUGUUGCAGUCCUGGCGAAAUCUUUUUUUCCUAGCUAAUAAAAGAAGUUAGUGUGGGGAAAAAAAAAAAAAAAGUAUUUUUUUUUCCUUCACUCGUAUAUUCUUUGGUGGUGGAUGUAUGGUGUGUUGUUUUCCUUUUCGGUAUUAUUAACUAUGUGCAAUUUGGUUUUGGAGUGAAGAUAACCUUAUGGAUGGGGUUGGUUUGUAUUUGAGGUAGAAUUAAUUUCAGUAGGUUUCCUUAACAGACUUCUGAGAUGUAUGAUAUUGGGAUUUUGGUUGUGUUCCUUGUAUGUGUAAAGAUACAGAUUUGGUAGGGCUAGCUGGGCUGCUGGAGUUUUGGGUGGUAAUUUAUUAGAUGGCUUUUGCUGGAUGCCAUUUUUAAUUUUUGAAAGUUUUUUUUUCAUGUAGCAGUUUUAAAGUGGUUUUUAAGAAUUCAUAGUAUUGUUUUAUAUUGUUUCUGCUUGGUGUAUGAUGAGGGAUAUGGUGUACCUCUUGAACGUUAUGCUUUUGGUGUUCAUAAGUUUCGAUUUAUUUCUGGAUAAAUGUUUUUUGUUUUUUUUUUAGUUUUAGUUUUUGGGCUCAGGCGCAUUUAUGUGGUGGGUUUCUAUAGGCAAUUUUUAAAAAUCUGUGUAGUGAUCUUUUAAAGUAUUUUAAUAUUCAAUUUUUAUUAUGCUUUUAAUUGGCUUUUUAGAAAUUCUUUUUAUGGAUUAUUGGUUAUUAUUUGUGAGUUAGCAUAAAGGUAGAGCUUUGGGGGCUUUUUUAAGACGUGUUUAGGGUCAGUUGUACAGUUUGGAGUUUAGUGAGUUGGUCUGAUGUAUUUUUUAUGCCAUUUGUUUUUAUUAGCAGUUAUUUCAUUUUAAAUGUGUAUUUGAGUUUUUUGGGUUUUUGAGAUGUUGGUUGAGGAGGAAGUUUACGCUUAUAAAUGAUGGAGGUUUUGGGGUAAUAAUAAUGGGAUUUUAAAAUUGAUUUAUAGUUGGGUUUAUUUGAAUUUUGAAUGGGGUUAAGUGUGGUGGGAUCCUUGUUCUCUUAGUAAUAGAAACAGGUUUUGUUUUGAAACGGUGUGACGGGGCGAGCGUGUACUGCGGCCUGGUGCUGAGCAGGGCGUGGUGGUUUUGUGCUGCUGAUGUGUUAGGUCAGUGAAUGCAUAUGGUUUACUGUAUAGUUUAAAAUAGAAAUAGCUUCAAAUUUUAAAAGAAAAAUGAAAUUAUAAUGAUAAAAAUAAAUACAGAAAACAGAUCAAUACAUAAAACUAUAAUAUAUAGUGUACUAUUGUAAAGAUAAUAUGAUAUAUAAAAUGCUGUCUCUUGUAUGUCUAUACAAAUAUAUAAAUAUAGAUUGUAAAUAUAAAAAUAUUUAAAUAUAGUUUAAAAUAGGGUGUUUUUUUGUUUUUAUUAGGUUGUAGGCAGGGGUUUUUAAUAAAUAGUAUAAAUAUAAUUAAUCUGAAAAUAUAAAUCAAAUCUAAGCAUAUAGAAUAUAUAUAACAAUAGGUAUAAAUAUUCAAUAUAAGUAAUCUAAUUUAAUAGAUGAUAUAAAAUAAUAUUAUAUUUUCUAGAGUAUAUAUAAAGAAAAUUAUAAAUGUCUAUGUAAAUAUAAUUAUGAAUGAUAUAAUUUAAAUAUUUUAAAAUAUGGUUAAAAUAAAGGGCUGUCUUUGGUUUUUAUUUUGUUAGAGGCAGGGGUUUUAUUUGAAAUUAUGUAAAGUAGCAUAGAAAUAUAAAUCUAAAUAUAGAAAUUCAUAAUAAAGGUAUAAAGACAGAUAAUUAUAAUUAAAGCAUAAAUACAAAUUUAAAUAUAUGUAAGUAAUAUGAAGGUAAGUAAUAUAGAAUAUAAAUAAUAUUAUAGAGCGAUAGAAACUAUAAAUAUAAAUGUGAAUAUAAAUAUGAAAAAAGAUAAAUAUUAAAAUAUGUAAAUAUAAUUUAAAUAAAGGGGUUUUUGGUUUUUAUUUGGUUAGAGACGGGGUUUUCAUUUUAAAUAAUAUAAAUAUGGAUAUUGUUUCAUAAUCAUCAAUACGGAAAUCUAUAAUCAGGAUAUAAAAAUAUAUAUAGAAAUAUAAAAUAUAAAUAAAGUAAUGAGAAGAGAUCUAGUAGAAUACAAGUAACACUGUAAGUCAAUAUACAUUUUAAGUGUAAAUGAAUAUAAAUUUUGAAAGUAAUUAAAAAAAAAAAAUUAAACACAGUUUAAGAGAAAGAAGUUCUUUUUGGCUUUUCUUUGGAUAGCUGCAGGGCUUUUAUUUUAAAUAAUGUGUGUUACAGAACUAAAAAUAUGAAUCCAGAAAUAUAGAAUCAAUAUAUAAAGAAAUGCAUAAACAUAUAUAAGUAAAGUAAUAUGAGUAGAUGUAAUAUAGAAUAUGAAUUUAUCUAUAAAUUUAUAAAUAGAAAUGUAGAACUAAACAUGAUAUAUCCAUGUACAUUAUGAAUAUAAAAGUGAAUAUAAAUAUGAAAAAAUAUAACAGU